rnacentral:rRNA from 1 species
UACAAAGGGGGCUAGCGUUGUUCGGAAUUACUGGGCGUAAAGCGUACGUAGGCGGAUUGUUAAGUGAGGGGUGAAAUCCCGAGGCUCAACCUCGGAACUGCCUUUCAUACUGGCAAUCUUGAGUCCGGGAGAGGUGAGUGGAACUCCUAGUGUAGAGGUGAAAUUCGUAGAUAUUAGGAAGAACACCAGUGGCGAAGGCGGCUCACUGGCCCGGAACUGACGCUGAGGUACGAAAGCGUGGGGAGCAAACAGG